UCCACACCACCCUAGAGGGGCCUGUCACAUAAUCGAUAACCCACGAUGCACCUCACCACUUUUAGCCUCAUCAGCCUAUAUACCGCCGUCGCCAGCCCAUCUUGAAAAGAAACAAAAUAGGCCCAAUAGUUCUCCCACUAAUACGACAGGUCAAGGUGUAACUCAUAAAAUGGAAAAUGAUGGACCACAUUGCUACCCCAGCUAAACCAAAAUUGCACUGAACCACACACUUUAAGGUGAAUUUAAC
rnacentral:rRNA from 1 species